rnacentral:lncRNA from 1 species
CAGGAAGGGGAGGGUGGCCCCGUACUUUUGCUGCCUGGGAGUGGGCCAGCCCUGCUCCCUGGGUUUUCCUCACAAACGCCAUCCUCAGGUGGUUCUUGGCAGGCCUGGCGCCUCUUUGAGCCCCCUGACCGGCUGUGACUGUCUCCAGCCAAACCUGGAGAGAAAAUAUUUAGAGAAGGGGCCCCUCUCCCCUACUGAACACAGUCAGCUUUCAGUGCAUUCGGAGUGGUCCUGGGCCGCCCUCCUGAGACACCCUGGGGUGCCUUGGGUGGGGUGGUGCUCCUCUGAAAGGAGCACAGUAGGCCCUGGCAGAGUUUCAGACCCUCCCUGAGUCUGUGGGCCACGUGGACAGCAUAUCACAGCUCUGAUUCUAUUCUACAGCGAGUGAUGAACCAUUUGCAUAUUGGAACUGGAAAAGACCCCUCAGAGCAAAUCAUUUUUAUUGUACUUUACAGAAGUAUCUGUCCAUAACGGAUUGGAAUUAAUUAACAAACAAACACAAACAAGACUGGUCCUACAUCCGUAGCUUCUUUGAGAAACAAUGCUUUUGGCCGUGCCAUUUCAAGUCAAGAAGAGAGAUUCUGAAAAAUAUGAAAACAUCUAAGGCUUGCCCCAGUCUGGGCAAAACGCAUGAGCACUCACGCCUGAGGGGCCGGACUAACUUGGAAGGCAUGGGUUAUCAUUUCUUUGUGUCCUCAGAUUUCCCAGUGUCCACCCUGCCAUAGGGAAGUCGGGGGGCAGGCAUUCGUGGGGGACCUGGGGCUAAGUCAUCCCAUCUCCUGGCGCCCCAGUUUCCUCUCCUGCAACUGGGUCACCGGCAAGUGGGUCAGAGGUGCAGUUCUUCCCUGAUGUGGCUGCUGCCUGCUCCGAAGAAGCAGAUCUUUGUCAGCCUCCAGAGCUGCAGAAGGACACUAUCUUGGGCAUGAAUAUCCCACAGCAGCAGUGCUUUUCUUCUCUCUCCGCCGGACCUGGCUCAUUCUUGUCUGGCAGAGGAACAAGCGAUUUCUUUUUAUGAGCCUGCAAACCUCCAGCCUCCCAGCCUCCCAGCUGGCUGGGUGCCAGGGCUGGGCCUGACACACAGGCUGACGUCCCCACCCAGACCCAUGGUCCUGGCUGCUCCGAAUUCUGGAGCGUCUGAGUCACCAUGCCUGAGCCGGCGGCGUCUCCAUGAAAGAGUUCAGAAGAAUAAAGGAACAGGCUCUCCUAUGGGCCUGCUGAUAGCAAUCUAUCAGCAUGACUACAUUUUGGCCUCCUUUUUUUGCUGCCUCUAAUCCAGCAAAGCAGGCUGUGGGUGUCUGAUGGUGAACUGCCUAGCAGGGGAGGGAGUCCAUCAGAGUUCCCUUCCCAAAGGCGAUCGUGUGGGGAGUGUAAACCUCCCUCUGUCCUUCCCCCACAGUACUGUUGGUUUCUGCGCA